ensembl:lncRNA LINC01858 long intergenic non-protein coding RNA 1858
GCCCACAGUGGGCACUGUGACAUAUCUCUUGGCCCAUCAGAUUGUUCAUGUUAUCCCCUUCCCUUUUUUUCCUGGUGUUUGCCCAUGAGAGACAUUGUGAUGCAUUUCUGGACCUAGCACCUAGGUGAUAUCUUCCUGGGACCUGUCUAUAUGGGUUAUUGUGAUACAUCAUGUACGUGGCCCAGUACUUACUUGAUGUGACUCUCCUCUCAUGCCUAGACCCUGCUCACAGGUGAUGCUACUCUCUACUUAUGGCUGGGCCUUGACAAAAAGAGGGAUUGGGACAUAUCCCUGGACGCUGAACCUAAGAGGUGGAGGUUGCCGUGGUGACAGAGUGAGACUUCGCCAAAACAAAACAAAAAAAACAACAACAAAAAGCUGUGUGAAUCCUCUCUUCACCCUGGACCCUGCCAAAGGGAAAGAUUGAGACAUAUCACUGGAACUAGCA